GACGAACGCUGGCGGCGUGCUUAACACAUGCAAGUCGAACGGAGUGGCGAACGGGUGAGUAAAACGUGGGCGAUCUGCCUUGCACUUCGGGAUAAGAUUGGGAAACUGGGUCUAAUACAGGAUAGUGCAAGAUGAGCUCGCGGCCUAUCAGCUUGUGGGUGGGGUAAUGGCCUACCAAGGCGUCGACGGGUAGCCGGCCUGAGAGGGUGUACGGCUACGUUGGGCCUAGUAUACGAGCCAGCGUCGUACUGGCGGCAGCGGUGGUGUCUAAUGCACACUACGCGGAAGCCUGAUGCAGCGACGCCCCGUGGUGGAUCAACGCCUUCGGUUUGUAAGCUCCUUUCGACAGGGACGCUGUAGCUGUAUAUGAAGCACCGGCUUACUGCGUGCCAGCAGCCGCGGUAAUUC
rnacentral:rRNA from 1 species